rnacentral:rRNA from 1 species
UACGUAGGGGGCAAGCGUUGUCCGGAAUACUGGGCGUAAAGCGUGCGCAGGCGGUGAUGUAAGACCGAUGUGAAAUCCCCGGGCUUAACCUGGGAACUGCAUUGGUGACUGCAUUGCUGGAGUAUGGCAGAGGGGGGGUGGAAUUCCACGUGUAGCAGUGAAAUGCGUAGAUAUGCGGAGGAACACCGAUGGCGAAGGCAAUCCCCUGGGCCUGCACUGACGCUCAUGCACGAAAGCGUGGGGAGCAAACAGG